GACGUCGAAUAUCAACGUCAUAAACACCAAAGUUGAUCGUGUUUAUGACGUCGAAUAUCGACGUCAUAAACACCAAAGUUGAUCGUGUUUAUGACGUCGAAUAUAGACGUCAUAAACACAAAAGUUGAUCGUGUUUAUGACGUCGAAUAUCGACGUC
rnacentral:miRNA from 1 species